AUUAAUUCUCUUCCGUUUUCAACUUUCCAGUGGUUAAAAGAUUGAAAUUCGCGUCGUAGUAUUUGGGUCCUCAUUGUCAAGUGUAUUUUCUUGCUUGGUCAUAAAAGUUUGCAUUUGAAGGAAUGGUGAAGUUUUAUGGCACUUAGUUUAUUGCUUGCUUCAGAAACAGGUACACAAACAGUUGGUGGAAGAAAACUCAAAAAGCUGAAGCCCCCCAUCAACCCCCC
rnacentral:lncRNA from 1 species